CCUACGGGAGGCAGCAGUGAGGAAUAUUGGUCAAUGGGCGUAAGCCUGAACCAGCCAAGUCGCGUGAGGGAUGAAGGUUCUAUGGAUCGUAAACCUCUUUUAUAAGGGAAUAAAGUGUGGGACGUGUCCUGUUUUGUAUGUACCUUAUGAAUAAGGAUCGGCUAACUCCGUGCCAGCAGCCGCGGUAAUACGUAGGAUCCGAGCGUUAUCCGGAUUUAUUGGGUUUAAAGGGGGCGUAGGCGGCCCUUUAAGUCAGCGGUGAAAGUCUGUGGCUCAACCAUAGAAUUGCCGUUGAAACUGGGAGGCUUGAGUAUGUUUGAGGCAGGCGGAAUGCGUGGUGUAGCGGUGAAAUGCUUAGAUAUCCCGCAGAACCCCGAUUGCGAAGGCAGCCUGCCAAGCCAUGACUGACGCUGAUGCACGAAAGCGUGGGGAUCAAACAGGAUUAGAUACCCUUGUAGUC
rnacentral:rRNA from 1 species